rnacentral:misc_RNA from 1 species
CACCGCUGCGACCACGCCUUCGGCGACGACAUCGCAGCGCAUGAUGCCGCCGAAGAUGUUGACCAGGAUGCCCUUCACGUUCGGAUCGGAGGUGAUGAUCUUGAAGGCUGCCGCAACCUUUUCCUUGGUCGCGCCGCCGCCAACAUCGAGGAAGUUCGCCGGCGUCGCGCCGUAGAGCUUGAUGAUGUCCAUGGUCGCCAUCGCGAGUCCGGCGCCGUUGACCAUGCAGCCGAUGGUGCCUUCGAGCGCGAUAUAGUUCAGAUCGUACUUCGACGCCUCGAUUUCUUUUUCGUCCUCUUCG